UACAGAGGUCUCAAGCGUUGUUCGGAUUCAUUGGGCGUAAAGGGUGCGUAGGCGGCGCGGUAAGUCGGAUGUGAAAUCUCGGAGCUUAACUUCGAAACUGCAUUCGAUACUGCCGUGCUUGAGGACUGGAGAGGAGACUGGAAUUUACGGUGUAGCGGUGAAAUGCGUAGAUAUCGUAAGGAGGACCAGUGGCGAAGGCGGGUCUCUGGACAGUUCCUGACGCUGAGGCACGAAGGUCAGGGGAGCAAACGGG
rnacentral:rRNA from 1 species